rnacentral:rRNA from 1 species
CCAGCAGCCGCGGUAAUUCCAGCUCCAAUAGCGUAUAUUAAAGUUGUUGCAGUUAAAAAGCUCGUAGUUGGAUUUCUGGGAGGGUGCCAAUGUCCGCUCGUUCGCGUGUGCAGCGGCGCCCUUCCAUCCUUCUGUUAACGUUUCUUGGUAUUCAGUUACUGGUUUCGGGCUCAGAUAUUUUACCUUGAGAAAAUUAGAGUGUUUCAGGCAGGCUUGCGCCGGAAUACAUUAGCAUGGAAUAAUAGAAUAGGACUUUAGUCUCCUUUGUUGGUUUGAGGGACUGAAGUAAUGAUUAAUAGGGAUAGUUGGGGGCAUUAGUAUUUAAUUGUCAGAGGUGAAAUUCUCGGAUUUGUUAAAGACUAACUUAUGCGA